GUUGUGAGGUUAAGCGAACAAGCGUACACGGUGGAUGCCCUGGCAGUCAGAGGCGAUGAAGGACGUGCUAAUCUGCGAAAAGCGCCGGUAAGGUGAUAUGAACCGUUAUAACCGGCGAUGUCCGAAUGGGGAAACCCGGUGCACUUCGGUGCAUCAUCGUUAGCUGAAUACAUAGGCUAACGAGGCGAACCGGGGGAACUGAAACAUCUAAGUACCCCGAGGAAAAGAAAUCAACCGAGAUUCCCCCAGUAGCGGCGAGCGAACGGGGAACAGCCCAGAGCCUGAAUCAGCUUGUGUGUCAGUGGAACGGUCUGGAAAGGCCGGCGAUACAGGGUGACAGCCCCGUACACGAAGGCACACAGGCUGUGAGCUCGAUGAGUAGGGCGGGACACGUGAUAUCCUGUCUGAAGAUGGGGGGACCAUCCUCCAAGGCUAAAUACUCCUGACUGACCGAUAGUGAACCAGUACCGUGAGGGAAAGGCGAAAAGAACCCCGGCGAGGGGAGUGAAAACAGAACCUGAAACCGUGUACGUACAAGCAGUGGGAGCCUUCGUAAGAGGGUGACUGCGUACCUUUUGUAUAAUGGGUCAGCGACUUAUAUUCUGUAGCAAGGUUAACCGUAUAGGGGAGCCGAAGGGAAACCGAGUCUUAACCGGGCGUUAAGUUGCAGGGUAUAGACCCGAAACCCGGUGAUCUAGCCAUGGGCAGGUUGAAGGUUGGGUAACACUAACUGGAGGACCGAACCGACUAAUGUUGAAAAAUUAGCGGAUGACCUGUGGCUGGGGGUGAAAGGCCAAUCAAACCGGGAGAUAGCUGGUUCUCCCCGAAAGCUAUUUAGGUAGCGCCUCGUGAAUUCAUCUCCGGGGGUAGAGCACUGUUUCGGCUAGGGGGCCAUCCCGGCUUACCAACCCGAUGCAAACUGCGAAUACCGGAGAAUGUUAUCACGGGAGACACACGGCGGGUGCUAACGUCCGUCGUGAAGAGGGAAACAACCCAGACCGCCAGCUAAGGUCCCAAAGUCAUGGUUAAGUGGGAAACGAUGUGGGAAGGCCCAGACAGCCAGGAUGUUGGCUUAGAAGCAGCCAUCAUUUAAAGAAAGCGUAAUAGCUCACUGGUCGAGUCGGCCUGCGCGGAAGAUGUAACGGGGCUAAACCAUGCACCGAAGCUGCGGCAGCGACACUAUGUGUUGUUGGGUAGGGGAGCGUUCUGUAAGCCUGUGAAGGUGUGCUGUGAGGCAUGCUGGAGGUAUCAGAAGUGCGAAUGCUGACAUAAGUAACGAUAAAGCGGGUGAAAAGCCCGCUCGCCGGAAGACCAAGGGUUCCUGUCCAACGUUAAUCGGGGCAGGGUGAGUCGACCCCUAAGGCGAGGCCGAAAGGCGUAGUCGAUGGGAAACAGGUUAAUAUUCCUGUACUUGGUGUUACUGCGAAGGGGGGACGGAGAAGGCUAUGUCGGCCGGGCGACGGUUGUCCCGGUUUAAGCGUGUAGGCUGACUUUCCAGGCAAAUCCGGAAGGUUAAGGCUGAGGCGUGAUGACGAGGCACCACGGUGCUGAAGUGACAAAUGCCCUGCUUCCAGGAAAAGCCUCUAAGCAUCAGGUAACAUCAAAUCGUACCCCAAACCGACACAGGUGGUCAGGUAGAGAAUACCA
rnacentral:rRNA from 1 species